rnacentral:rRNA from 1 species
UACGUAGGGUGCAAGCGUUGUCCGGAAUUAUUGGGCGUAAAGAGCUCGUAGGCGGUUUGUCGCGUCUGCUGUGAAAAUCCAGGGCUUAACCCUGGACCUGCAGUGGGUACGGGCAGACUAGAGUGCGGUAGGGGAGAUCGGAAUUCCUGGUGUAGCGGUGAAAUGCGCAGAUAUCAGGAGGAACACCAAUGGCGAAGGCAGCACUCUGGGACGGUACUGACGCUGAGACGCGAAAGCGUGGGGAGCAAACAGG